rnacentral:tRNA from 1 species
GCAGCUUUAGCUCACUUGGGAGAGCGCCAGGUUAGUCAUCUGGAGGUACUGUGUUCGAUCCACAGAAGCUGCA